AGCGAACGCUGGCGGCAGGCCUAACACAUGCAAGUCGAACGGACCCUUCGGGGUUAGUGGCGGACGGGUGAGUAACGCGUGGGAACGUGCCUUUAGGUUCGGAAUAGCUCCUGGAAACGGGUGGUAAGGCCGAAUGUGCCCUUCGUGGGAAAGAUUUAUCGCCUUUAGAGCGGCCCGCGUCUGAUUAGCUAGUUGGUGAGGUAAUGGCUCACCAAGGCGACGAUCAGUAGCUGGUCUGAGAGGAUGACCAGCCACAUUGGGACUGAGACACGGCCCAAACUCCUACGGGAGGCAGCAGUGGGGAAUCUUGCGCAAUGGGCGAAAGCCUGACGCAGCCAUGCCGCGUGAAUGAUGAAGGUCUUAGGAUUGUAAGAUUCUUUCACCGGGGACGAUAAUGACGGUACCCGGAGAAGAAGCCCCGGCUAACUUCGUGCCAGCCGCCGCAGUAAGAC
rnacentral:rRNA from 1 species